CCUGCACAAGCUCUUUUGCCUACCACCAUGUAAGAUGUGACUUUGCUUCUCCUUUGCCUUCUGCCAUGACUGUGAGGCCUCCCCAGCCAUGUGAAACUGUGUUUCCAAGGGAAAGCAUGUGGCAUUUCACCUGAGUUAUGUAUUGUUUCAAACAUCCAGUGGAGGGUUUCUGGUAUCUCUCUUGAACUCUGGUGUUUUUACAAGAGGCACACAAAAGAGAGACACAGAGAGAAGAUGAGAAGACUGAGGCAGACAUUGGAAUGACGCAACCAGGAGCCAAGGAAUGCCUGGAUCCAUGGGAAGCAGAAGAGGCUUUCUCACCAUGUGAUGCAUUCUGCUAUGUUAUGAUACAGCAAGAAGGGCCUCACAAGAUGUGACCUCUUGUUCUUGGACUUCUCAGCCUCCAGAAUCAUGAGAGGGAGUGAGAGAAGUCAAACCUCUACCAGACUAGACAGAAUUUGCAUGUCUAUCUCUUACCUCCCCUCUUUGAGCCGAAGGACUAGAGGAACAAAAGACUCAGCCCCAAGGUUAUCCGCUGCUGCUGCCCCCGAGACAGUAAGACCGACUCCUCCUCUUUCUCCUCCUCUUCAUCCUACUCUAUGUGAAGACAAGAAUGAAGAUCUUUGUGACGAUCCACUUCCAGUGAAUGAUUAGUAAAUAUAUUUUCUCUUUCUGAUGAUAUUCUUAAUAAUAUUUUCUUUUCUCUAGCUUACUUCAUUGUAAGAAUCAGUUUAUCAUACAUAUAAUACACAAAUAUGUGUUAAUUGACUGUUUAUGUUAUCACUGAGGCGCCUGGUCAACAGUAGGCUUUUAGUAAAGUUUUUGGGGAUUGAAAAGUUAUAAUUGGAUUUUCAACUGUGCAGGGGUUUGGCAUCCUUAACUCCCGUGUUGUUCAAGCGUCAGCUGUAUUACUGAAUAAAAUACAGAUAAAAUAAAACCAAAUUAAGCCUUUUAAAUUAAGAAUGUAAUCACUAAGAGACUGUGGUCAACAAUGGAGGUCAUGACAAUAAAAUUCUGCUUUUGUUAUUUAUCCAAGUUACAUUUUUUCAUUCAUCUCCUCAGUCAGCAACAAAUACUUCUUCAGUACUUUGUGUCAGUUCUGCAGUCUACUAGGCACUGAUCCUCUCCCAAAAAUACAAUGGAAUGGUUUCUUUGUAGCUGGCAUCCUUUACAAUGUUUAAAUUCUUGGGACAUCCUGGACUGUAAGGGAAACAAAUAUUUCCAAUAGGAUGAAGAUAAAACUAUAUUUAAAGAUAAAGAAUUGUGGCAUGUUUGGUUACCUACUCAAUAUUCAUUUCACCUUCUUUCCUAUAAAGAGGAUCUUGAUUGUGUUCAGACAGUAACACACCCAGAACCUCAGGUCAUGAUCAUGAGAUCCUGUUGUCUCUUUUGUUAUUUCCCUUGUAGCUAAGAGUAUCCACGUGACCUGGACCUGGGUGAGUGGGUCCUAGAAAAAUUUUUGCUUUCUUGCUACUCUUCCUUCUUCUCACUGGAAUGUAAAUGUAAAGGGUGGAGCUGCAGCAGCCAUCUUGCUAUCACAAAAGAAAGACUGAGAGAACAGCAGAAGAGUUGACCUUAAUGUUGUUGAACCACUGAAUCAACGCUGUAAACAAUCUAUCUCCAAAAUUCUUGGUAUGUGAGAAACUAAACUACUGUUUAUUUAAGUUGGGUUGUCUGUUAAGUGCAGCUGAAUGUCUUCCUAAUUGAUACAGAAAUGCAUUUAAAAAAUAGCAUGCACACUUUUUAGUAUGAGCUAAGAAAAUGAGUAAGAACACAGCACAUUGAACCCAAUUUUGCAUUUGCAAUCCCCAAAGAACCCUGGUACACUUUUGUAGAAUAUUAAUGUGAAACCUAAGUUUGGGGAAUGUCUCUGAUGAGAAGUUGGGAAACAGAAAUAGAUGAGACCUAUCUAUGGUGCAAAGAUAAAUUUUGGUUAGAAAGAAAAGAGCAAGAACAUGCACAAAAAUGUGUGGCAGAACCAGGCUGUGGGCAGGAACCAGAGGAGCUGUCUACUAUGGUUGUAUUUAAUAUGACUGCUGAGGACAAAGCUCUGAUUUUUUUAUCUGGCCCAAAUUCCUAUCUAAGGUGUCUGGAGAGUCAUGCCUUACAAACCAUACAUUCUCAUCAGAUGGGUUUUAUUUAACCCCAUAUAUUGUGACUUUCCAAUCUGACUCUGGCAUAAUAUUAUGUGACAAAAAAGAAAGUCAAAAUAUUUUACUCCAAAACAUCUUUCUUUGUCUUAUUUUGAAAUGGCCCUGCAAAUGUGUCCUUUGUGGGGGGAAAUUUAUACCUGUAAAGAAUCUCUAUUAACAUAGCUAUAUCUUUUUCUUCCUGGCCCUCCCAAUCCUAAAGAGAUUGAGUAAGAGUCUAGCACCUUUUAAAGGUCUGAAUAGGAAACAUUUGUCAUCUAUUCCCCCGAAGAACAGCCACUGUAAGACUUCAAAAGAACUGUGGUCUGCACAAUCUUUUAUCUUAACCUGAACAUUUCUUUUCUAUGGAACCCAGGUCUUUAGACAAACUCAACCAAUUGUCAACCAGAAAAUGUUUAAAUGUUUCUAUAGCCUGGAAGCCGCCUCCUCCCCACCACCAUCCCAUUCCACUUUGAGUUGUCUGGUUUUUCUAGACCAAACCAAUGUAUUUCUUAAAUGUAUUUGUUUGAUGUCUCAUGCCUCCCUAAAAUGUACAAAACCAAGCUGUGUCCAACCACCUUGGGCACAUGUCCUCAGGACCUUCUGAGGGCUGUGUCACCAGAUGUGGUCAUUCAUAUUUGGCUCAGAAUAAAUCUCUUCAAAUAUUU
rnacentral:lncRNA from 10 species